UACGGGGGGGCGAAGCGUUGUUCGGAAUUACUGGGGCGUAAAGGCUCGUAGGCGGCCAACUAAGUCAGACGUGAAAUCCCUCGGCUUAACCGGGACUGCGUCUGAUACUGGUUGGCUUGAGUGUGGGAGAGGGAUGCGGGAAUUCCAGGUGUAGCGGUGAAAUGCGUAGAUAUCUGGAGGAACACCGGUGGCGAAGGCGGCACUCCUGGACCAUUACGUGACGCUGAGGAGCGAAAAGCCAGGGGAGCAACGGG
rnacentral:rRNA from 1 species